rfam:Capsicum annuum cultivar Zunla-1 chromosome 8, whole genome shotgun sequence
CAGCCAUGCAGUGAGCACAAAGCGAACUAUUCUUUCACCUUUUACUAAAGAAUAUCGUGUGCGUGCUGGACCGAUGACAUAUGCCUAGUUUUGGAGGGAUUACUUUUCAUAGAGUGAC